CCCUGGUUAUCUCAGUUGGUAGAGCGCUCCGCUGGGAAUGGAGAGGUGCCUGGUUCGAUACCCGGACCAGGCA
rfam:Ixodes scapularis strain Wikel colony gcontig_1108378652152, whole genome shotgun sequence.